rnacentral:rRNA from 1 species
GAGUUUGAUCCUGGCUCAGGACGAACGCUGGCGGCGUGCUUAACACAUGCAAGUCGAACGAGAAUCUACUGAAAGAGUUUUCGGACAAUGGAUGUAGAGGAAAGUGGCGGACGGGUGAGUAACGCGUGAGGAACCUGCCUUGAAGAGGGGGACAACAGUUGGAAACGACUGCUAAUACCGCAUGACGCAUAGAGGUCGCAUGAUCUUUAUGCCAAAGAUUUAUCGCUUCAAGAUGGCCUCGCGUCUGAUUAGCUAGUUGGCGGGGUAACGGCCCACCAAGGCGACGAUCAGUAGCCGGACUGAGAGGUUGAACGGCCACAUUGGGACUGAGAUACGGCCCAGACUCCUACGGGAGGCAGCAGUGGGGAAUAUUGGGCAAUGGGCGCAAGCCUGACCCAGCAACGCCGCGUGAAGGAAGAAGGCUUUCGGGUUGUAAACUUCUUUUAAGAGGGAAGAGGAGAAGACGGUACCUCUAGAAUAAGCCACGGCUAACUACGUGCCAGCAGCCGCGGUAAUACGUAGGUGGCAAGCGUUGUCCGGAUUUACUGGGUGUAAAGGGCGUGCAGCCGGGUCUGCAAGUCAGAUGUGAAAUCCAUGGGCUCAACCCAUGAACUGCAUUUGAAACUGUAGAUCUUGAGUGUCGGAGGGGCAAUCGGAAUUCCUAGUGUAGCGGUGAAAUGCGUAGAUAUUAGGAGGAACACCAGUGGCGAAGGCGGAUUGCUGGACGAUAACUGACGGUGAGGCGCGAAAGUGUGGGGAGCAAACAGGAUUAGAUACCCUGGUAGUCCACACUGUAAACGAUGAAUACUAGGUGUGCGGGGACUGACCCCCUGCGUGCCGCAGUAAACACAAUAAGUAUUCCACCUGGGGAGUACGAUCGCAAGGUUGAAACUCAAAGGAAUUGAC